GAAGUGGCUCAAUGGCAGAGCACCUGCUUUGCCUGCAGAAGGGACCAGGAUCAAACCCUGCUAUCUCCA